AAAGCAUAACAAUUUGAGCUUCUAUCUCUUGGCAGUUCCUUGAUCCUUAGGCCUGUAAUUGAAAGGUCACUAACUCUCAUUGACACCCAUUUUGGAAUAGACAAGUCACUGAAUGCUGACAGGAAGAGGAGGGAGAAAGA
rnacentral:lncRNA from 1 species